ACGAUGUUCCGCUGCAGGUUCGACUGAUAAGAGCAUCUG
rfam:Bacillus hemicellulosilyticus JCM 9152 DNA, contig:contig_3.